AUACAUGCAAGUCGAGCGGACAGAUGGGAGCUUGCUCCCUGAUGUUAGCGGCGGACGGGUGAGUAACACGUGGGUAACCUGCCUGUAAGACUGGGAUAACUCCGGGAAACCGGGGCUAAUACCGGAUGGUUGUCUGAACCGCAUGGUUCAGACAUAAAAGGUGGCUUCGGCUACCACUUACAGAUGGACCCGCGGCGCAUUAGCUAGUUGGUGAGGUAACGGCUCACCAAGGCGACGAUGCGUAGCCGACCUGAGAGGGUGAUCGGCCACACUGACUAUAAGACACGGCCCAGACUCCUACGGGAGGCAGCAGUAGGGAAUCUUCCGCAAUGGACGAAAGUCUGACGGAGCAACGCCGCGUGAGUGAUGAAGGUUUUCGGAUCGUAAAGCUCUGUUGUUAGGGAAGAACAAGUGCCGUUCAAAUAGGGCGGCACCUUGACGGUACCUAACCAGAAAGCCACGGCUAACUACGUGCCAGCAGCCGCGGUAAUACGUAGGUGGCAAGCGUUGUCCGGAAUUAUUGGGAUUGAAGGGCUCGCAGGCGGUUUCUUAAGUCUGAUGUGAAAGCCCCCGGCUCAACCGGGGAGGGUCAUUGGAAACUGGGGAACUUGAGUGGAAAAGAGGAGAGUGGAAUUCCACGUGUAGCGGUGAAAUGCGUAGAGAUGUGGAGGAACACCAGUGGCGAAGGCGACUCUCUGGUCUGUAACUGACGCUGAGGAGCGAAAGCGUGGGGAGCGAACAGGAUUAGAUACCCUGGUAGUCCACGCCGUAAACGAUGAGUAAGUGUCUAUAGGGGGUUUCCGCCCCUUAGUGCUGCAGCUAACGCAUUAAGCACUCCGCCUGGGGAGUACGGUCGCAAGACUGAAACUCAAAGGAAUUGACGGGGGCCCGCACAAGCGGGGAGCAUGGUGGUUUAAUUCGAAGCCGC
rnacentral:rRNA from 1 species